CUAGGAAUCUGCCUGGUAGUGGGGGAUAACGUUCGGAAACGGACGCUAAUACCGCAUACGUCCUACGGGAGAAAGCAGGGGACCUUCGGGCCUUGCGCUAUCAGAUGAGCCUAGGUCGGAUUAGCUAGUUGGUGAGGUAAUGGCUCACCAAGGCGACGAUCCGUAACUGGUCUGAGAGGAUGAUCAGUCACACUGGAACUGAGACACGGUCCAGACUCCUACGGGAGGCAGCAGUGGGGAAUAUUGGACAAUGGGCGAAAGCCUGAUCCAGCCAUGCCGCGUGUGUGAAGAAGGUCUUCGGAUUGUAAAGCACUUUAAGUUGGGAGGAAGGGUUGUAGAUUAAUACUCUGCAAUUUUGACGUUACCGACAGAAUAAGCACCGGCUAACUCUGUGCCAGCAGCCGCGGUAAUACAGAGGGUGCAAGCGUUAAUCGGAAUUACUGGGCGUAAAGCGCGCGUAGGUGGUUUGUUAAGUUGGAUGUGAAAUCCCCGGGCUCAACCUGGGAACUGCAUUCAAAACUGACUGACUAGAGUAUGGUAGAGGGUGGUGGAAUUUCCUGUGUAGCGGUGAAAUGCGUAGAUAUAGGAAGGAACACCAGUGGCGAAGGCGACCACCUGGACUAAUACUGACACUGAGGUGCG
rnacentral:rRNA from 1 species